GGAACAACACAAAUGCAUCAGCCUCUGUUAAUAGCAAUGCUAGUGAACCAAAGCAAGUGACUGAAGUGUAGCAUUCUGAAGAUCACUAAAUUGCACAACUGGCUCUUGUAGAUUGUGCUGCCUAACCAAUGCUGUCAGCAAAUUAUCUCAAGUACAUCUUGAGCAGUUCUGCAUAUUUCAGCACAAGUUUUCUUUGAAAAGAUGACUUACGUAGAUCCAUCUGCAAGAAAAAAACUCAUUUGUGCCAGGGCAAAUGAAGUCUCUGGAGAUCAACCUCCCAAGUAUUUCUUUUGGAGCAGAGGAAAAUUAUACCAUUGGUGGCUUUUCCUUGUCCAUCAGCUGUUCUUUGUUUUCCAAGGUAGGUUAGUGCAGUCCUUUGUUUAUCUGC